UACGUAGGGGGCAAGCGUUGUUCGGAAUUACUGGGCGUAAAGGGCGCGUAGGCGGCCUGCUAAGUCGAACGUGAAAUCCCUGGGCUCAACCCAGGAACUGCGUCCGAUACUGGUUGGCUUGAAUCCGGGAGAGGGAUGUGGAAUUCCAGGUGUAGCGGUGAAAUGCGUAGAUAUCUGGAGGAACACCGGUGGCGAAGGCGACAUCCUGGACCGGUAUUGACGCUGAGGCGCGAAAGCCAGGGGAGCAAACAGG
rnacentral:rRNA from 1 species